rnacentral:rRNA from 1 species
CAGCAGCCGCGGUAAUACGGAGGGUGCAAGCGUUAAUCGGAAUUACUGGGCGUAAAGCGCACGCAGGCGGUCUGACAAGUCAGAUGUGAAAUCCCCGGGCUUAACCUGGGAACUGCAUUUGAAACUGUCAGGCUGGAGUCUUGUAGAGGGGGGUGGAAUUCCAGGUGUAGCGGUGAAAUGCGUAGAGAUCUGGAGGAAUACCGGUGGCGAAGGCAGCCAUCUGGCCUAAUACUGACGCUGAGGUACGAAAGCAUGGGGAGCAAACAGGAUUAGAUACCCGAGUAGUCCCUGUCUCUUAUAC